AGUCGAACGGUAGAGGGGGCAACCCCUUGAGAGUGGCGAACGGGUGAGUAAUGUAUCGGAACGUGCCCAGUCGUGGGGGAUAACGUAGUGAAAAUUACGCUAAUACCGCAUACGAUCUAUGGAUGAAAGCGGGGGAUCGCAAGACCUCGCGCGAUUGGAGCGGCCGAUAUCAGAUUAGGUAGUUGGUGGGGUAAAGGCUCACCAAGCCAACGAUCUGUAGCUGGUCUGAGAGGACGACCAGCCACACUGGAACUGAGACACGGUCCAGACUCCUACGGGAGGCAGCAGUGGGGAAUUUUGGACAAUGGACGCAAGUCUGAUCCAGCCUUUCCGCGUGCAGGACAAAGGCCUUCGGGUUGUAAACUGCUUUUGUACGGAACGAAAAAGCUCUUAUUAAUACUAGGAGUCCAUGACGGUACCGUAAGAAUAAGCACCGGCUAACUACGUGCCAGCAGCCACGGUAAUACGUAGGGGGCAAGCGUUAAUCGGAAUUACUGGGCGUAAAGCGUGCGCAGGCGGUUAUAUAAGACAGAUGUGAAAAUCCCCGAGCUUAACUUGGGAACUGCAUUUGUGACUGUAUACGUAGAGUACGGCAGAGGGGGAUGGAAUUCCGCGUGUAGCA
rnacentral:rRNA from 1 species